rnacentral:guide_RNA from 1 species
AUCAUAACAGUGGAGAUAAAGAAUUUAAAUUA